rnacentral:rRNA from 1 species
CCUUCUGUUUAGGGGGGCCUGCGGAAGGAUCAU